UACGGGGGGAGCAAGCGUUGUUCGGAAUUACUGGGCGUAAAGUGUGCGCAGGCGGCUGAGCAAGUCGAGUGUGAAAGCCCCGAGCUUAACUUGGGAACUGCGCUCGAAACUACUUGGCUAGAGUGUGGCAGAGGGAGGUGGAAUUCCACGUGUAGCGGUGAAAUGCGUAGAGAUGUGGAGGAACACCGAUGGCGAAGGCAGCCUCCUGGGCCAACACUGACGCUCAUGCACGAAAGCGUGGGGAGCAAACAGG
rnacentral:rRNA from 1 species